UCUAAUCCCUAGGUUUUUCAGAUCAGGCUGCCAUACCUGUACCUUGCUGAUGUUAGAUAAGAUAGCCAUAAUAUUAGGUAACAGUGAAUGGUAGGAGACUAGAUUGAACCAUGGGGAAUGGCUUAGCGCAAACACCGCUCUCCACCAUGUGCACAACUAGAAUGGAACAUGGGGAGAGGAAGAAGGGUGGGAGGUCAGUAUGGGAAGGCUCUUUAGUGGGUACUUUUUCCAAUCAGAGCAUCUUGGCCUCCCUAGCUUCCCCUCCCCCCUCUGGAGUGAUCCUUUGUGAUGUCUGAGCUCCCCAUAGCCACCAUUGGCUGUGGGGAGUGUCCUGAUGACAAAACAAAGCUGAAGAGGUGUGACUCCUCAUUGCCCUGGGGAGGGGUAUAUAUACAGAGGACAGGACCCCUGGGGUAAACAAUUGAGAGCUUAAACAUGGCAAAAGUGACCAAGAAAUCAUGGGAGCAACAAUCCACAAGCACCAAGCGGUGGAAGAAGAAGAAGACCCGCUCUCAACCUAAAUCAAGACGCAAUAACAAGGUUCUGAAGAUAUACAAGAAGAUAAAAAGACCAUUUCACAUGACCUCAAGAAAAAAAUACUCUCCUAAAGUUACAACUACUUCAAGAAGGCGGAAGAGAGGGAGAAGGGCCAACAAAUUUCAUCCAUUACCGUAGACUGAGCCAUAAGCAGCCAGGCCAAGCCCAGCGUACCCUAUAAAAAGACACCACUUGAAGAUAAGAUCCCUGCCAAACAGUACCUGCAGAGCAAGCUUCAGAGACCUCAGACAAUCUGCUGCAUCUAAGUCCUGGCUGCUGAGAAAUGGCCAACUGCAUAGGGACUUACUCAGACACUAAUGUGGAAUGGUGGUUAUUAAAAUCAACAAGGUGUGAGAAACCCCUCCAAAAAUAAAAUAAAAAUAGGCUCUCUGCCAGAAA